rnacentral:rRNA from 1 species
UACAGGGGGGGCAAGCGUUGUUCGGAAUUACUGGGCGUAAAGGGCUCGUAGGCGGCCAACUAAGUCACACGUGAAAUCCCCAGGCUUAACCUGGGAACUGCGUGUGAUACUGGAUGGCUUGAAUCCGGGAGAGGGAUGCGGAAUUUCAGGUGUAGCGGUGAAAUGCGUAGAUAUCUGGAGGAACACCGGUGGCGAAGGCGGCAUCCUGGACCGGUAUUGACGCUGAUGAGCGAAAGCCAGGGGAGCAAACGGG